rnacentral:rRNA from 1 species
AGAGCGAACGCUGGCGGCAGGCUUAACACAUGCAAGUCGAGCGGGCGUAGCAAUACGUCAGCGGCAGACGGGUGAGUAACGCGUGGGAACGUACCUUUUGGUUCGGAACAACACAGGGAAACUUGUGCUAAUACCGGAUAAGCCCUUACGGGGAAAGAUUUAUCGCCGAAAGAUCGGCCCGCGUCUGAUUAGCUAGUUGGUGAGGUAACGGCUCACCAAGGCGACGAUCAGUAGCUGGUCUGAGAGGAUGAUCAGCCACAUUGGGACUGAGACACGGCCCAAACUCCUACGGGAGGCAGCAGUGGGGAAUAUUGGACAAUGGGCGCAAGCCUGAUCCAGCCAUGCCGCGUGAGUGAUGAAGGCCCUAGGGUUGUAAAGCUCUUUGUGCGGGAAGAUAAUGACGGUACCGCAAGAAUAAGCCCCGGCUAACUUCGACGCCAGCAGCCGC